rnacentral:rRNA from 1 species
CAGUAGCCGCGGGAAUACGUAGGUGGCAAGCGUUGUCCGGAUUUAUUGGGCGUAAAGCGAGCGCAGGCGGUUUCUUAAGUCUGAUGUGAAAGCCCCCGGCUCAACCGGGGAGGGUCAUUGGAAACUGGGAAACUUGAGUGCAGAAGAGGAGAGUGGAAUUCCAUGUGUAGCGGUGAAAUGCGUAGAUAUAUGGAGGAACACCAGUGGCGAAGGCGGCUCUCUGGUCUGUAACUGACGCUGAGGCUCGAAAGCGUGGGGAGCAAACAGGAUUAGAUACCCGCGUAGUCCCUGUCUCUUAUAC